rnacentral:rRNA from 1 species
ACGAACGCUGGCGGCGCGCCUAACACAUGCAAGUCGCACGAGCGAGAGAGAGCUUGCUUUCUCGAGCGAGUGGCGAACGGGUGAGUAACGCGUGAGGAACCUGCCUCAAAGAGGGGGACAACAGUUGGAAACGACUGCUAAUACCGCAUAAGCCCACGGCUCGGCAUCGAGCAGGGGGAAAAGGAGCAAUCCGCUUUGAGAUGGCCUCGCGUCCGAUUAGCUAGUUGGUGAGGUAACGGCCCACCAAGGCGACGAUCGGUAGCCGGACUGAGAGGUUGAACGGCCACAGUGGGACUGAGACACGGCCCAGACUCCUACGGGAGGCAGCAGUGGGGAAUAUUGCACAAUGGGGGAAACCCUGAUGCAGCGACGCCGCGUGGAGGAAGAAGGUCUUCGGAUUGUAAACUCCUGUUGUUGGGGAAGAUAAUGACGGUACCCAACAAGGAAGUGACGGCUAACUACGUG